AGUGAUUUUAUCUAAAGUUUAUGAUUUUAAUACAGAUUUCUGUAACCAAUCUUGUUUUAAAUAUUUUAGACUAACACCUGACGUGUGUGUGUGUGUAAACAGAAAAAAAAAAUAUUGUCUGGCUGCCCACAGUUUUACAUACCGUACACAAAUUGUCUUUGGGAUUCACGUUAGAGGUGAUAUCUGAACUGACAGACCACCGGGAGAAUGUUUUAUAUAGCAAGAAGCGGAAAAUUGUGGUAACUGUUGGUGUGUGAGCAGAUACUGUGAUGAAGUCCCUUACUGACAAGACAAGACAAAAAGAAACAUCAGGAUUGCAUAAAAAUCUACUGUACUUACUUCGGCUGAACACAGCACUAAGAGUCAAGUUAAUAUCAGUUUCUGCAAAUUUAGCAAAGGUACAGAACUGAGGUCACCCUAUGAAAAGCAAGACAACAUUGGAAACACCAAGAAAUGAAUGAGUGAAAUUUUCAUAUGAGACAAAGUCAAGAACCUUGUGAUGCUGUAAAAUCUCACUGAAAUACUGUAUUGUAUUCAUAUUAGUAGAUGAUAAGGAGUCAGCAUUAUGCCGGUAGGUUCUUUCAAGUCAUCACCAGAAGUAGUAGUAGUUAACCACCUCUCUCAGGGGUGAAACCUGGACUCUUUCUCUGACUUAACAGUGGAUUAUAUAUAUACUGUGCAGUAUGUACAGUAUUGUAUGCUGUGAUGGAAGAAUUGAUAUAACGAUGACAGUAGUUAGUUUAAUUCAUAUAGCACCUCAUAUAUACUGUAUAUUCAGUGAUUUUCUAGCUUAAACAUAGUACAGUACAGUAGAGGUAUGUUGAGUAGUGAGGUAUUCUGUUGAGCUAUAUAUUGUACCCCAUAGGUAUUG
rnacentral:lncRNA from 1 species